AGUGAACGCUGGCGGUAGGCCUAACACAUGCAAGUAGAACGGCAGCACAGUAAGAGCUUGCUCUUACGGGUGGCGAGUGGCGGACGGGUGAGGAAUACAUCGGAAUCUACUUUUUCGUGGGGGAUAACGUAGGGAAACUUACGCUAAUACCGCAUGCGACCUACGGGUGAAAGCAGGGGAUCUUCGGACCUUGCGCGAUUGAAUGAGCCGAUGUCGGAUUAGCUAGUUGGCGGGGUAAAGGCCCACCAAGGCGACGAUCCGUAGCUGGUCUGAGAGGAUGAUCAGCCACACUGGAACUGAGACACGGUCCAGACUCCUACGGGAGGCAGCAGUGGGGAAUAUUGGACAAUGGGCGCAAGCCUGAUCCAGCCAUACCGCGUGGGUGAAGAAGGCCUUCGGGUUGUAAAGCCCUUUUGUUGGGAAAGAAAAGCAGCAGGUUAAUACCCCGCUGUUCUGACGGUACCCAAAGAAUAAGCACCGGCUAACUUCGUG
rnacentral:rRNA from 1 species